AUUGAACGCUGGCGGCAUGCUUUACACAUGCAAGUCGAACGGUAACAGGGAGCUUGCUCCGCUGACGAGUGGCGAACGGGUGAGUAAUGCAUCGGAACGUACCCAGUCGUGGGGGAUAACGUAGCGAAAGUUACGCUAAUACCGCAUACGUCCUGAGGGAGAAAGCGGGGGACCGAAAGGCCUCGCGCGAUUGGAGCGGCCGAUGUCGGAUUAGCUAGUUGGUGGGGUAAAGGCCUACCAAGGCGACGAUCCGUAGCGGGUCUGAGAGGAUGAUCCGCCACACUGGGACUGAGACACGGCCCAGACUCCUACGGGAGGCAGCAGUGGGGAAUUUUGGACAAUGGGGGCAACCCUGAUCCAGCCAUGCCGCGUGAGUGAAGAAGGCCUUCGGGUUGUAAAGCUCUUUCAGACGGAAAGAAAACGGACAAUCGGUGAAUACCCGACUAGUGGAUGACGGUACCGUAAGAAGAAGCACCGGCUAACUACGUCGCCAGCAGCCACGGUAAAGGUAAGCGUG
rnacentral:rRNA from 1 species